GAUGAACGCUGGCGGCGUGCCUAAUACAUGCAAGUCGAACGCAUUGUGGUUGAAAUGAUAUGAAGAACUUGUUCAGAUUUGAUUUUCAACAUUGCAAUGAGUGGCGAACGGGUGAGUAACACGUGGGAAACCUACCUCUUAGCAGGGGAUAACAUUUGGAAACAAAUGCUAAUACCGUAUAAUAAUUAAAAACCGCAUGGUUUUAGUUAAAAGAUGGUCUUGCUAUCACUAAGAGAUGGUCCCGCGGUGUAUUAGUUAGUUGGUGAGGUAAUGGCUCACCAAGACAAUGAUACAUAGCCGAGUUGAGAGACUGACCGGCCACAAUGGGACUGAGACACGGCCCAUACUCCUACGGGAGCAGCAGUAGGGAAUCUUCCACAAAUGGACGAAAGUCUGAUGGA
rnacentral:rRNA from 1 species